GUGAGGAAUAUUGCGCAAUGGACGAAAGUCUGACGCAGCCAUGCCGCGUGAAGGAUUGACGGCCCUAUGGGUUGUAAACUUCUUUUGUAUAGGAAUAAACCCUCGUUCGUGAACGAGGCUGAAGGUACUAUAAGAAUAAGCACCGGCUAACUCCGUGCCAGCAGCCGCGGUAAUACGGAGGGUGCAAGCGUUAUCCGGAUUUAUUGGGUUUAAAGGGUACGUAGGCGGAUCGUUAAGUCAGUGGUGAAAUCCUACCGCUCAACGGUAGAACUGCCAUUGAUACUGGCGAUCUUGAGUAUGUAUGAAGUUGGCGGAAUGUGUGGUGUAGCGGUGAAAUGCUUAGAUAUCACACAGAACACCGAUUGCGAAGGCAGCUGACUAAUACACAACUGACGCUGAGGGACGAAAGUGUGGGGAUCAAACAGGAUUAGAAACCCUUGUAGUCC
rnacentral:rRNA from 1 species